rnacentral:rRNA from 1 species
AGAGUUUGAUCAUGGCUCAGAACGAACGCUGGCGGCAUGCCUAACACAUGCAAGUCGAACGAGACCUUCGGGUCUAGUGGCGCACGGGUGCGUAACGCGUGGGGAUCUGCCCUUUGCUUCGGAAUAACAGUUAGAAAUGACUGCUAAUACCGGAUGAUGUCGUAAGACCAAAGAUUUAUCGGCAAAGGAUGAACCCGCGUAGGAUUAGCUAGUUGGUGGGUAAAGGCCUACCAAGGCGACGAUCCUUAGCUGGUCUGAGAGGAUGAUCAGCCACACUGGGACUGAGACACGGCCCAGACUCCUACGGGAGGCAGCAGUGGGGAAUAUUGGACAAUGGGCGAAAGCCUGAUCCAGCAAUGCCGCGUGAGUGAUGAAGGCCUUCGGGUUGUAAAGCUCUUUUACCAGGGAUGAUAAUGACAGUACCUGGAGAAUAAGCUCCGGCUAACUCCGUG